GAAAUCACAGCCAUACGAGCUAUGCUCCCGCAGCUGAACUGUAUCUGCGUUUUAACAGUGGGAGAAAAGACGCUAUACACCAAUGCGCUCUUCCCUCUACCCUGCCAACCUCAUCUGUCAGCCAUUACUUAAUCAGGGCUGAUAACACAGAGCACAGAAAGCUGGCACAGCGCGUGGGACCAAAAGACAGUUUCACCUCUGAGAGCAAGAGGAGGGCAAGGACUCGGGGACCUCUGAUUCACUGAUCUACAGCUGGGUUGCUUCACUCACCAGCACCCACUCAGGACUGGCAGCCAGAAACCUUGAGAUGACCCAACCCACUGCUUUAAUCUAAACAGGGAGGUUUCAGAGACAGAAGUCAAAACAACAUAUGUUAUCAACAUGGGAACAGCUGCUCUCCAACACUGUGCAUCGUCUUAGCCAAGUCCAAGAAUGUAUCAAGUCUUAGCAAAGGAAAAUGUCUCCACCAGUGGAAAAAUACAAUAGAAAUCAAGACAGAAUGUAAAUAGCGGCAUAUAAGGGCACGGAUAAUGCUCAAGAGUUCCUCAGUCAAUCCAAAUGCAUCGUGCAGGGGUCAUGUGGUGAGAACUCUUAAGAAAAAAAAAAAAGACCUACCAAGUAGUCAUACACUGGUACAGUGUUAACAGAGUUAAAUCUCUGAUCAAAAACAUAUCUUUGAGUUUUUAUUUUAGCUAAAGUUGAACAAAGUGCUAUUCACUCUGUUAGCGAAACUGAGCUAGAACACAGUAUCUAUCAUUAUCGCUCCCAUAAGAGGGGAAACAGCUCCAUUUCACUUCAUCACUUGAUAGCAUCGACAUGCCCAAACAUGAACAGGCCCCAUUAAGUCUGAGGUGGUAGCCUCAUGUGAGAGGACUGUUCAUAUGAAGCCUAUGAAGUGACUCCUGAAUGUUUAAAAACACUUCAACGUCCUUCACUUAAGGAAUGAGAUGCUCUGUAACUGUGUCAAAAUAUGAUCACCUUCUCUGCCAUUCAGUGGGCCUGGAGAAGACCAAAUUAAAUGCUUCCAGAGACUUUCACUCCAUACCUCCUCUCAAUCCUUCUUACUGCAUCAGCUCCCGAGCUGGAUCACCCACAGAACAACAGCUAUGCUUACUGAAUGGGCUCAGAUGGGUUCAUAUUCCUUCAGCUGGAGCAGGAAGAGCUUUAAUAGACUUGUGUUAGCUGUUCCUUAAACUGUAAUAAAUCAUGAAGAUGUGCUUGCAACAGCCUGCAAAGAAAAUCUAUACUAUAGUGUUUAAACCUUUAUUUAUGUUAUCCAACUUCUUCACCACGCUUCUACCCCUGAUGUAAAAACCACACCGCUAUCCAAAUAUUUUGAAUCUUCUGAUAGCAUCUCACAGCAUCUGCUUUUCUGCCAGCUAUUAAUGGCCAAACAUCUGUAAGCCACAAUGAUUGAUUCUGAUGAUUGAAAACACUUUUUUUUUUCUUAGCCACCAAUUCAGAUUUAUAUAAAAGCCACAGCAAUGACCAUACUAGUGAGCACCACGAGGGAACCUUUCAGCUGCUGCUCCAAUAACUGAAACUCAGCUAGCACAUGGGCAGCAUAAGGAAACACAAGCCUGAUGAUGUCACAAGCAACUGACCCCAAAGUGACAGGUUUGGAAGAUGCCCCCCCCCCAUUGCCCUCAAACUGGCGUUAAGUACAUAUAUCAUCAAUGUUCUGCAUGUGGAUUUCAUUUGAAGCAGCAUCAUUAGUGUGCAAACGCUCUGCUGUGAUCCCCCCUCCAUGGGAAACCCACACUUGCCGGGAAAUGGUAUGUUUUUGUUAGCAACAAACAGGCAUAAAUCACAUAAGUGGUGCAACACGGGCAUACUGUUGGUCCUUACACCCAGCUGAAAUCAGCAUUGCUUUUAAGGUAAUUACCAUUAGCUAAUGAUAUUUACAUUCCCAAAGGUUUAUGUUGCACUGUGUGCCUGAAAUCUUUAACCUGUGCAAUAAAUGUGGUAAUUGUUUUGUGUCUUUUCUUUUCUUUUUCUUUUUUUUUUUUGAAAAUGCAUUUUGAUGGAAACAAUAAUAUUAAUGUAACUUUGACAGUAACUGAUCAGUUUCUGAAGCUCACACUGCAAGAUUUCUCUGCAGACCUCUCAGGCUAUUUACAACAGAAUUUACAGCCUGGUUUUAUAGAUUUGUAAAACUCUCC